rnacentral:rRNA from 1 species
UACGUAGGCAGCGAGCGUUGUUCGGAGUUACUGGGCGUAAAGGGUGUGUAGGCGGUUGUUUAAGUUUGGUGUGAAGUCUCCCGGCUCAACUGGGAGGGUGCGCCGAAUACUGAAUGACUCGAGUGCGGGAGAGGAGAGUGGAAUUCCUGGUGUAGCGGUGAAAUGCGUAGAUAUCAGGAGGAACACCGGCGGUGUAGACGGCUCUCUGGACCGUAACUGACGCUGAGACACGAAAGCGUGGGUAGCAAACAGG